rnacentral:rRNA from 1 species
GUUAAGUCUCUGGGGAAAUCUGCCGGCUUAACCGGCAGGCGUUUCAGGGAUACUGGCAGACUAGGGACCGGGAGAGGUGAGAGGUACUCCAGGGGUAGGAGUGAAAUCCUGUAAUCCUUGGGGGACCACCUGUGGCGAAGGCGUCUCACCAGAACGGCUCCGACAGUGAGGGACGAAAGCUGGGGGAGCAAACCGGAUUAGAUACCCGGGUAGUCCCAGCUGUAAACGAUGCGCGUUAGGUGUAUCGGUGACCACGAGUCACCGAGGUGCCGAAGAGAAAUCGUGAAACGUGCCGCCUGGGAAGUACGGUCGCAAGGCUGAAACUUAAAGGAAUUGGCGGGGGAGCACCACAACAGGUGGAGCCUGCGGUUUAAUCGGACUCAACGCCGGAAAUCUCACCGGAUAAGACAGCUGGAUGAUAGUCGGGCUGAAGACUCUACUUGACUAGCUGAGAGGUG